rnacentral:rRNA from 1 species
GGAGUUAGCCGGUGCUUCUUCUGUGAGUGAUGUCCUUCCUGCCGGCUAUUAACCCGCAGGCCUUCUUCCUCACUGAAAGUGCUUUACAACCCGAAGGCCUUCUUCACACACGCGGCAUGGCUGGAUCAGGGUUGCCCCCAUUGUCCAAUAUUCCCCACUGCUGCCUCCCGUAGGAGUCUGGGCCGUGUCUCAGUCCCAGUGUGGCUGAUCAUCCUCUCAGACCAGCUACGGAUCGUCGCCUUGGUGAGCCGUUACCUCACCAACCAGCUAAUCCGACAUAGGCUCAUCCGAUAGCGCGAGGCCCGAAGGUCCCCCGCUUUCCCCCGUAGGGCGUAUGCGGUAUUAGCCUGGGUUUCCCCAGGUUAUCCCCCACUACCGGGCAGAUUCCUAUGCAUUACUCACCCGUCCGCCGCUCGCCACCAGGGAGCAAGCUCCCCGUGCUGCCGCUCGACUUGCAUGUGUUAGGCCUGCCGCCAGCGUUCAAUCUGAGCCCAGAAAUCGAAAACCCUCGUACGUACGUAGACGGGCCGGUCGGUCGGAACGGAACGGGCCGACUAAGU